AGAGCACUCUGAGUGCAUGGGAAUUAUACCGGAGUUCCAUUUUCGCACGGGAGCCUUUCUUCACGAGGCUCCCGGCUCAGAACUGGAGCGGACAAGGGGAAUCCGACUGUUUAAUUAAAACAAAGCAUUGCGAUGGCCGCAAACGGUGCUGACGCAAUGUGAUUUCUGCCAAGUGCUCUGAAUGUCAAUGUGAUGAAAUUCAAUCUAGCAACGUUGCUCGCAGCUCAUUUAAGCAGCCCAGCGCACCCGUGAAGAAUGCAGUAGUCGUGCAAGCAUUGGCAUUCUAUCAAAGCCUCGUGAAGAAAGGCUCCCGUGCGAAAAUGGAACUCCGGUAUAAUUCCCA
rnacentral:ncRNA from 1 species